UAUUUCACUUGGCCCAACGUUAAAGAGCAAGGUCGUCUUCGACUCUUCCAAUUCAUCGGAAUCAAUUUGACUGCAAAUCGCUGUUUCUCGUAUAUUAAUCAUCAUCCACUCCCAUUCAUUCUAUAACAUUCUUCAAUCCCAUCUGAGUUAGAUGCAUCCUUCCACCUCCCUUUGUUUCUUCACAUAUAUAAAUCCUUUUGUAUCAGUUCACUUCGAACCAUAGUCUACAUCCUCCAUAAGACAACAUUGAUCGACAGCUAUGAUAUCCGCUCAUGCUUCCGGGAAGUCUCAAGUUGCCCUCAUCGGCUUCAUCUCAUCUAAUCGUGCUCCACGAUACGAGCCUCAACUCAAACCAGGAGCUAAUUACAGCCUUCAGAAUUUCAACGACUAGAUGAACUGUUGGAUUGUAAUCCAGAGAUUGCUAAGCUGGUGAAUGAGGAGGAGGUAACUAAGGCUGAGACAAAGGAUCCGCCAAGGUUGAACUUGAGCUGUAGAUAUGCCACUCAAAUCAACAUGCCUAACUACGUAUAUCACCUGGUCGUGGACGAACGCAGGAUGCGUUUUUUUUUGGUCUAUAACUGUUACAGAAGUUGUCUCUUUCUACCACCUCUGACAGUCCCACAGAUGAAACCACAUUUGCUGCAACUGCUGAAUCGCCCCUGCUCUCUGCAAAUGUUUUUGUCUGUAUCUUCCAAAGGAUGUGGAUUGGACGCAAAUAGUGCAUCAAUCGUUCAUCCCAUAGAUUGGACGCCGGGGUUUCUGUUUCACUUUCCUUCCAGUUCUUAAGUUUUGUUCUGUUAUUGCUAUGUAAGAGGUUCUUUCAUUUCUUAAUUAUUUCGACAUAGCUCAAGUUAGACUAUGGUCUUUUUUAUGCUUUGUCUGAUUUUGUGGUUUUAGUUGUUUUCUCACUGUUAGCUCGCACCCUUUGACCCAACCAAGAAGAAGAAGAUGAAAGUUGUCAUUUUGGAUUCUAUCGAGGACUCAACAGAGUAACAAGCGGAGAAAACUGAUUCAUCCCCUCGAGUUUAUGUGCCGUGAAACUUUGGCUGUUUAUUUUCAAUGGUGUACAUACAUUGCUUUGUUUUUAUUUAUUUUCACUGCAGCUUUUGAUGGCCUUCAGAGUUCAUUUGUUGGAUAGAACUCAGUGAGUGUUCUAACGUCUUGCCUCUUCUAAACUCUUUUAUUUUUUUUUAAACUGGUGUUCUGAAGAUUAUGUGUCUCACAUUGUUUUUUUUUUCAAUGGGUGGGUUUAAUCAACCUCACAUUUACAUGGUAUUUUUAAAUUCCUUUCUUUGCUAACUAACUGUUUUUACCGGCAUGCAUUUAAAUACCUAAAUCCGUAUUUUCCAACGGUCUUAUAGAACAGUCGCCACGGUGAUCAGUGGCCUUAUUCUACUGUCGAUAAACAACUACAGAUUCCAACGACAUCAUAUCUUCACAGCCAAAAAAUGGGGAGAUGAACAUGGCGACUGAAGGCCAUCCUGGAAACUGCAGCGAAUCAUACUUGACACUACAAGGUGCUCCAGCUUACUAGAUGUUUCCAAAUGAAAUUUGGUAGGUCAUCAAGAAACUUUUCUAUUUACUUAACCAAGGGGAGUCAUUCACCAAGUCUAAGACAAUGGUUUGGGAGAAUGCUCUACUUGAUCUUGAAGAAAUUGUCUCCAAGAGCUGAGGUUCGUUGUCCGUAAUUUGCCUUAGUAGCGAAAUCCUAACACUUAUGUUAGGUGUAGAUUCCUCUGCUGAAUAAUAGACGAAACCCUUUUCACACCAACUGAGAGAUACUUGAAACAAGCUAUUGUCAAAAAGAAUCAUGGUGUUUCAAGCUAUCUGCUAUCAUGAUUUUUGCAUGCUUAUUGGUUGCAAAAUCAAUACUUCCCUUAAGAUGGCUGCUAUGAUGGAUGCUUUAGUUACUGUUUGACCUGAAUCAACUUGAAAAGAUUGAAGAUUACUUCUUCUAAAUAUUUUUAAAUAUGAAGCACAAUGGCGCCACUGCCACAUAUAAUCAAAGGCCUUUUACUAUGUUCUAAGACCCAAUUUAUGAUCUUAAAAUUCUUGCGUUUCCAUGUGUUUUGUUUCUCUUUUUACUGCUAUUUUUUUUUGUGCUUUUCUUGAAUUUGUAGAAGAAUAGAGUAGGCCAGAGCUGGAAUUCUUGAACAUCAAUAUGAUCUUUGAAAACUUAGCCAGGCUUCGGCUUAUAGCUUCCUGAGGCUGUUGUAUUGUACCCGGUUUCUCAACAGAGGGAAUAGUUCUGGUGGUAGACAUUGUAAGGGUGGGGAGGUUGGAAGAUAAUGCAACAGAAAAAGAACCAAAUUAAGAAAAAGAAUCCUCUGAUUUUAGAAAACCAUACGACACACUAUUAUUCUUAGUUGUAAUGGAGUUAACUUUUAAUAUAUUAAGAGAUACUCUACAUCA